CUAUGUGGUUUGUCCACCAAAUUGUUUUUAUUUGUAUCAGUUUAGGAUAAAUAAAAGAUUCAAAGCGCCGCGUUCCUAGAAUUUAAACAAGAAACAUUUGAUUAUUUAACAGUUAGAAUUUUAAACAUAAAAGUUGUAUAUGUUCCGGACCAUAUAAGUAUUAUGACCAUACGCGUACGGUCAUGACUAUAUGAGUAUAUUCGCCGGAACAUAUAACACGGUGGGUAUGGUUGUCCUGCGAGAGAACAUUCUGUGCUGGUGAUUUGGUCCUGUCAGGUGCUGGUGGGUCCUGAUUCUGUGCUGGUGGGUUUGUUUACAUUGUAUCAGAACGGCAAUAAAACGACUGUUUUGUUGCUUAAUUUUUCUCUGAUGCGUCAUAAGUACCAUGCAAAGUAUAUUACAACAAUAUUAUAUUGCAAA
rnacentral:lncRNA from 1 species